rnacentral:rRNA from 1 species
CCUGGUGACAAUAGCUGAGUGGAACCACCCGAUCCCAUUCCGAACUCGGAAGUGAAACGCUUAUGCGCCGAUGGUAGUGUGCAUCCGCAUGCGAGAGUAGGUCAUCGCCAGGG